GGGGCGGCUGCAGAGAUGCUGCGCGCGGGGUGGUUGCGGCUGUGUGCCGCGCUCUGCAGCCUCCUGCUGGGGCAGGCCCAGGCCCCGAGCCCCGGGGCGCCGCCGGAGCGCAGCCGGCCCUACGCGGUGCUGCGUGGGCAGAACCUGGGCUGUAUGAAGAGAGUCGCGUUUGCUUCCCCAUAUCUGUGGAGUGACUUGAGGGUGCCUGUUGAUGGCUAGUCCUGGCACCCAGCCCAUGUUGAUGGGGACCAUUUUUAGCAUCCUGCUGGUGACUAUCAUCCUUAUGGCAUUUUGUGUCUACAAGCCCAUGCGUCGCCGGUGACAG